UACGGAGGGUGCAAGCGUUAUCCGGAUUUACUGGGUUUAAAGGGUGUGUAGGCGGGCUUUUAAGUCAGUGGUGAAAUCUCCGGGCUCAACCUGGAAACUGCCAUUGAUACUAUUAGUCUUGAAUUUUGUUGAGGUAGGCGGAAUAAGUCAUGUAGCGGUGAAAUGCAUAGAUAUGACUUAGAACACCAAUUGCGAAGGCAGCUUGCUAAACAAACAUUGACGCUGAGGCACGAAAGCGUGGGGAGCAAACAGG
rnacentral:rRNA from 1 species